rnacentral:rRNA from 1 species
GACGAACGCUGGCGGCGUGCUUAACACAUGCAAGUCGAACGGAAAGGCCCAGCUUGCUGGGUACUCGAGUGGCGAACGGGUGAGUAACACGUGGGUGAUCUGCCCUGCACUCUGGGAUAAGCCUGGGAAACUGGGUCUAAUACCGGAUAUGACCAACUGUCGCAUGGUGGUUGGUGGAAAGCUUUUGCGGUGUGGGAUGGGCCCGCGGCCUAUCAGCUUGUUGGUGGGGUAAUGGCCUACCAAGGCGACGACGGGUAGCCGACCUGAGAGGGUGAUCGGCCACACUGGGACUGCGACACGGCCCAGACUCCUACGGGAGGCAGCAGUGGGGAAUAUUGCACAAUGGGCGCAAGCCUGAUGCAGCGACGCCGCGUGAGGGAUGACGGCCUUCGGGUUGUAAACCUCUUUCACCAGGGACGAAGCGUGAGUGACGGUACCUGGAGAAGAAGCACCGGCCAACUACGUG